GACGAACGCUGGCGGCGUGCCUAAUACAUGCAAGUCGAACGCUUUUUCUUUCACCGGAGCUUGCUCCACCGAAAGAAAAAGAGUGGCGAACGGGUGAGUAACACGUGGGUAACCUGCCCAUCAGAAGGGGAUAACACUUGGAAACAGGUGCUAAUACCGUAUAACACUAUUUUCCGCAUGGAAGAAAGUUGAAAGGCGCUUUUGCGUCACUGAUGGAUGGACCCGCGGUGCAUUAGCUAGUUGGUGAGGUAACGGCUCACCAAGGCAACGAUGCAAAGCCGACCUGAGAGGGUGAUCGGCCACACUGGGACUGAGACACGGCCCAGACUCUUACGGGAGGUAGCAGUAGGGAAUCUUCGGAAAUGGACGAAAGUCUGACCGAGCAACGCCGCGUGAGUGAAGAAGGUUUUCGGAUCGUAAAACUCUGUUGUUAGAGAAGAACAAGGAUGAGAGUAAAACGUUCAUCCCUUGACGGUAUCUAACCAGAAAGCCACGGCUAACUACGUGCCAGCAGCCGCCGUAA
rnacentral:rRNA from 1 species